CCCUUAGAUGUUCUGGGCCGCACGCGCGCUACACUGACGAUGGCAACGAGUUUUUCCUUCGCCGAAAGGUGUGGGUAAUCUUUUGAAACAUCGUCGUGCUGGGGAUAGAUCAUUGCAAUUUUUGAUCUUGAACGAGGAAUUCCUAGUAAGCGCGAGUCAUCAGCUCGCGUUGAUUACGUCCCUGCCCUUUGUACACACCGCCCGUCGCUACUACCGAGUGAAUGGUUUAGUGAGGACUCCUGAUUGGCGCCGCCGCCCCGGCAACGGAGCAGCGGACUGCCGAAAAGUUGUUCAAACUUGAUCAUUUAGAGGAAGUAAAAGUCGUAACA
rnacentral:rRNA from 1 species